AGAUCUGAUCUGCACUUUCUCAAGGAGUUCUCUGAAAGAGGUGGAGUUUAAAGCACUGAUAUCUGAUGUGACCUUCUUAAACUUGAAGUAUGUUAGAAAGAGAAUAAGAAACACUCACAAUGAUUCUCCAUUCUGUCAUUCUGCUUUCUGCCUUUGCAUAUGCAGCAUAUGGAAAUGAAAUUAAACCAACCAAAUCAGUGGAGUUUGCUGAUGAGUGUUCAAGUGUUAAAUUAUCCUGCAGUUAUUCAUCUGCAUAUGCUCUUCACUGGUAUUGUCAGUAUCCUGGAUCAGCUCCUGAGUUCAUUGUGCUCAUUUUAGAAGGUGCAAAAGAAGCUCAGGAGUCUAAUGUAGAUUCCAGAUUCACAACCAAAUUCACUACAGUCAAUAAAGAAAACCAUGUGGAUCUGGAGAUCUCCUCUGCUGCUGUAUCAGACUCUGCUCUGUACUACUGCGCCCUGGAGGCCACAUGUGCCGGGGGCAAGACAGAGUUGGACAGCCUUUGA